AUUCAGUCAAGGCCUUGGUUAUCACAACUUCUCCCGUUUACAAUUGAUUCUAAUUUGACCUAUACUAAUAUUUCUCAUUAUUUGCAUCUUAAUUGAUACUAAGACGAUAAAAACCUCUAACCUCCAACUAGAAAGAUUAUCUCAAAAUGGAUGAGUCUACCAGAACUUUAAAAUGUCUGGGGGAUUUUCCCAGCUAGCACUGAGCGCCAGCUUCAGGAGUGGCCAAAUCCUGACAAUUGUCUUUCUGUACUUGCCAGGAGGUCACAGGGAAGAUGGCACAUAUAGAUCCAUGGUGCAAGUCUCUCGAGAAAGCCAGUUGGGCCUAAGACUUGCCAGCUGUACAACGUCCAACAGAGGAAGUAACAUAAAUGCUGAACGUUAAGUUUUAUUAUCUAGCUUACAAUGGCCGUGUUCAUCCUUCAGCUCCAAGGAGGUCUUUAUGGGUUCUUGCCUUGCUGUUCAUCCUCUGGGAUUUGAAAACUGCUCUUAGUCUCUGGACAGAGUCUACUUGUCUUGCCUGGUUUGAAUCCACGGAUCAUCUGCAGAACACAGGCCAACAAACUUACUGCUUGGACUCUGGCUGGACUCCCCCUCUUUACGCUCCUUGUUCAUCAAGACAGCCCGCCUCAAACCCGCAACGGACUUGCCUGUAGCUUGCUACAGCAUUCAUUCACUGAACUGCAAUUCUUCUGCUAGUCCUGAAUAAACUCAAUUUCUGGUAAUUUGAGCUUGCCUCA
rnacentral:lncRNA from 1 species